GAAGUACUACAGAGAGAAUAAGAGAAAGCAGAGCAAGAAUUCCUGGCAGAGAAGAUGAGAAUUUAGAAAGAUGCCAAGCAUUUCCAAAGGGAUGCCACUUAAACUGUUGGAGACACAUUUACAAGAUGGGUGUGUCAAAGAGGUGCAGACUUGUCCAGCCACACCUGUGCCUGCUGGAAAAGUGUCACCCCCAGCUGCCUGGCGCUCCUCUCCCUUUCCUCCUUCCUCUCCUCAUCUGGAGGCUUCUGCACUUCAAACCUGACAGAUAAACUGCUCCUAGGAGUGUUGCCUGAGCUGUCAGGCAAAAUGAGGUUGCAAUGAAUCCAAAAUGAUGAAACUAAGACUUGAAAUCUGAGCAUGUUGAUGGACAAGGGCACAAGUCUAAAAUGACCAGGCAGCCAGUUGUCACAUGCCAUUACUGAGCCAAAGAUCUAUAUCACAAUCCCUUCUCCACCCAUGACCAGUACCUGAGUGCCCUUCCCUCUGCUCUAACAAAGAAUCAGCACCUGUAGAAUCUCUGCAAAACCCGUUAGCAAAUUCAAACAAGCAUCACAACAAGAUCCACACCAUUGCCCUGGAAGCAGGAUGGAUUUAAACAAAGUGCUCCUGUCAUCCGUGCCCACAAAACUCCAACAACAUCUUUCUCUCGUGCUCCUACCUUGGCGAUUUGCAAAG